UACGGGGGGAGCAAGCGUUGUUCGGAUUUACUGGGCGUAAAGGGCGCGUAGGCGGCGUAACAAGUCACUUGUGAAAUCUCCGGGCUUAACCCGGAGCGGCCAAGUGAUACUGUUGUGCUAGAGUGCGGAAGGGGCUACUGGAAUUCUCGGUGUAGCGGUGAAAUGCGUAGAUAUCAGGAGGAACACCGGUGGCGAAAGCGGCUUCCUGGCCCGACAUUGACGCUCAUGUACGAGAGCGUGGGGAGCAAACAGG
rnacentral:rRNA from 1 species